ensembl:lncRNA
GGGGAAAGGGAAGAAACAGUGAGAAAAGCAGCGGGAGUUAAUGCUGAAUCAUGCAGGUACUCUGGAUUAAUUCUGAUGUGAUAGAAUGGCAAAAAAAAAAAAAACCAACAAAGAAUGCGAAGCGAGGAAGGAAAAAGAAAUUGGAACUAGGAAGCAGAAGAACUUCUGACUGUUUUACCACUGAACUGGAUUUGGAGUGGUGGAGAAAAGCUAAUGGUGGUGAAAACAGAUGGGCAUGAAGAUCGGACAGCAAAGCAGCUUUCCCCUUCAUUCAGUUUAAGUUCAUUGGUAAAAGAGCACCUCAGACUAACUUCCCAAGAGGUCCAUCAAGAGAAAGUCUGAGAACACAGCGUGGUGCACAGGGGGCAGCAGAUGGAGAUGUGUAACAGCUGUAUGCUUCAUGUGGGCUCUGCAGUGACACUGGAGGAGGCAGCUGCUGUCAAUACGUUGCCCAAGGAAUUUUCUCAUGAAGUCCCAUUUUCAUAUACUAUUGCUAUCCAUCAGUGCUGAGGAAAGAAAGCUGAAGGCCGUCGCUGACAGCAUCACUCUACCUGAUGAGAGAUUUCAAAACUAUGGACUCAAAAGAGAGUUUCCCACCCAGGAAGCAAUAUGUUGGAGUUGAAAUGGCUUACACGUACUGAGUCCACUUUAAUAGGAGUGAAUUAUCCCAAUAUCUAAGAACCUGAAGAAUUUAGGAAAUAUUUUACAAUUGCUUUUUACUGAGGUAGGAAAGUAUUGAAUUCAGGAGCAGAAUCUGUGGGCUUGUUCUUAAAACAAGUGCCCCAAGGCAAAAAAGCACGACUCACCUUUUCAGCUAAAUUAAGGUAUCCUUCCCUCCUGGGACACCACCACCGAUGUUGUUACAGCUGCUUCCUUGUGGCACUUUCUGGGCCAUUGUGUGUCCUUUUCGUACAGAUCUCCUGAAAUAGUUCUGCUGCACUUGUGAUCAGGCUGACAGCGAUCCCAGGGACACAUGGUAGAGCAGCAGAGAGAUACUGCGAACUGUAUCAGCCAGUCUGGGUACAUGGAGAAUCCUGUCCGAAUGUCUUAAUAGGGCCCAUCCAUGCUUCUG